AUUGAACGCUGGCGGAAUGCUUUACACAUGCAAGUCGAACGGUAGAGGGGGCAACCCCUCGAGAGUGGCGAACGGGUGAGUAAUAUAUCGGAACGUGCCCAGUCGUGGGGGAUAACGUGGCGAAAGUUACGCUAAUACCGCAUACGAUCUAAGGAUGAAAGCGGGGGAUCGCAAGACCUCGCGCGAUUGGAGCGGCCGAUAUCAGAUUAGGUAGUUGGUGGGGUAAAGGCUCACCGAGCCAACGAUCUGUAGCUGGUCUGAGAGGACGACCAGCCACACUGGAACUGAGACACGGUCCAGACUCCUACGGGAGGCAGCAGUGGGGAAUUUUGGACAAUGGACGCAAGUCUGAUCCAGCCAUUCCGCGUGCAGGAUGAAGGCCCUCGGGUUGUAAACUGCUUUUGUACGGAACGAAAAGGUCUCUCUUAAUACGGGGGGCUCAUGACGGUACCGUAAGAAUAAGCACCGGCUAACUACGUGCCAGCCGCCGCGGUAA
rnacentral:rRNA from 1 species